UAGGGAAUCUUCCACAAUGGACGCAAGUCUGAUGGAGCAACGCCGCGUGAGUGAAGAAGGCUUUCGGGUCGUAAAACUCUGUUAUUGAAGAAGAACGUGCGUGACAGUAACUGGUCAUGCAGUGACGGUAUUCAAUCAGAAAGUCACGGCUAACUACGUGCCAGCAGCCGCGGUAAUACGUAGGUGGCAAGCGUUGUCCGGAUUUAUUGGGCGUAAAGCGAGUGCAGGCGGUCUUUUAAGUCUGAUGUGAAAGCCUUCGGCUUAACCGAAGAAGGGCAUCGGAAACUGGGAGACUUGAGUGCAGAAGAGGAGAGUGGAACUCCAUGUGUAGCGGUGAAAUGCGUAGAUAUAUGGAAGAACACCAGUGGCGAAGGCGGCUCUCUGGUCUGUAACUGACGCUGAGGCUCGAAAGCGUGGGUAGCAAAACAGGA
rnacentral:rRNA from 1 species